GACGAACGCUGGCGGCGUGCUUAACACAUGCAAGUCGAACGGAAAGGCCCUGCUUUUGUGGGGUGCUCGAGUGGCGAACGGGUGAGUAACACGUGAGUAACCUGCCCUUGACUUUGGGAUAACUUCAGGAAACUGGGGCUAAUACCGGAUAGGAGCUCCUGCUGCAUGGUGGGGGUUGGAAAGUUUCGGCGGUUGGGGAUGGACUCGCGGCUUAUCAGCUUGUUGGUGGGGUAGUGGCUUACCAAGGCUUUGACGGGUAGCCGGCCUGAGAGGGUGACCGGCCACAUUGGGACUGAGAUACGGCGCAGACGCCUACGGGGGGCAGCAGUGGGGAAUAUUGCACAGUGGGCGGAAGCCUGAUGCAGCAGCGCCGCGUGCGGGAUGACGGCCUUCGGGUUGUGAACCGCUUUCGCCUGUGACGAAGCGUGAGUGACGGUAAUGGGUAAAGAAGCACCGGCUAACUACGUG
rnacentral:rRNA from 1 species